rnacentral:rRNA from 1 species
UACGUAGGUGGCAAGCGUUAUCCGGAUUUACUGGGUGUAAAGGGAGCGUAGACGGAAUUGCAAGUCUGAUGUGAAAAUCCGGGGCCCAACCCCGGAACCGCAUUGGAAACUGUAUUUCUAGAGUGUCGGAGAGGCAAGUGGAAUUCCUGGUGUAGCGGUGAAAUGCGUAGAUAUCAGGAGGAACACCAGUGGCGAAGGCGGCUUGCUGGACGAUGACUGACGUUGAGGCUCGAAAGCGUGGGGAGCAAACAGG